GAUGAACGCUGGCGGCGUGCCUAAUACAUGCAAGUCGAGCGAACAGACGAGGAGCUUGCUCCUCUGACGUUAGCGGCGGACGGGUGAGUAACACGUGGAUAACCUACCUAUAAGACUGGGAUAACUUCGGGAAACCGGAGCUAAUACCGGAUAAUAUAUUGAACCGCAUGGUUCAAUAGUGAAAGACGGUUUUGCUGUCACUUAUAGAUGGAUCCGCGCCGCAUUAGCUAGUUGGUAAGGUAACGGCUUACCAAGGCAACGAUGCGUAGCCGACCUGAGAGGGUGAUCGGCCAAACUGGAACGGAGAAACGGUCAAGACUCCAACGGGAGGAAGAAGUGGGGAAUCUUCCGCAAGGGGCGAAAGCCUGACGGAGCAACGCCGCGUGAGUGAUGAAGGUCUUCGGAUGGUAAAACGCUGUUAUUGGGGAAGAACAAAUGUGUAAGUAACUAUGAACGUCUGGACGGUACCUAAGCAGAAAGCCACGGCUAACUACGU
rnacentral:rRNA from 1 species